GACGAACGCUGGCGGCGUGCUUAACACAUGCAAGUCGAGCGGUAAGGCCCUUUCGGGGGUACACGAGCGGCGAACGGGUGAGUAACACGUGGGUGACCUGCCCUCAGCUCUGGGAUAAGCCUGGGAAACCGGGUCUAAUACCGGAUAUGACUCCAUGACGCAUGUUGUGGGGUGGAAAGCCUUGUGCGGCUGAGGAUGGGCCCGCGGCCUAUCAGCUUGUUGGUGGGGUGAUGGCCUACCAAGGCGACGACGGGUAGCCGGCCUGAGAGGGCGACCGGCCACACUGGGGACUGAGACACGGCCCAGACUCCUACGGGAGGCAGCAGUGGGGAAUCUUGCGCAAUGGGCGAAAGCCUGACGCAGCGACGCCGCGUGAGGGAUGAC
rnacentral:rRNA from 1 species